AUGGAUGGGGCUCAGCAAGGAAGGGGAGCUGGGAUGAACCCCCUGGAACGCCAGGAAAUCCCCACCGUGCCUUCUCCAGGCAGGAAUGCUCAGGCAGGUCCAUCCCCGCCCUCCCACCUCAGCUCCAGGUGCAGGAAUGCCCUCUGGAAAACAGGCAGGAGCCCAUCCCAACCCCAUCCCAGGCCUGGAGCCCAUCCCAACCCCAUCCCAGGCCCGGAGCCCAUCCCAACCCCAUCCCAGGCCUGCUCCCAGGCUGAUAAGGAACCAGCUCCGACAACAAAGAGCCAGGGGAGCUCCACCUGCAGAGCAGCUGGGCGAGGCUUUUCCCUGAGGAGCAGGGCUGGGGACCAGGACAAACACCCGGGGAGUCGCUGGGAAUUCCAUGUGGCUGGCUCGGGAAUUCCUUGCUCUGCAGGGAACAGAAAGUGUCCUGGGGAGCACCUGGAGCUGCUCCUCACCUGCCAGGACCCGGCUCCGAGUCAUUCCCGGGAUAAACCCUUCCAAAGGGUACAAACCCCUGGAAUGACAAUCCGCACAUCGGCACACGGGUUCAGUCCCCCUGGAGACAGCAGGAGCAUGAGGGCAGCAGGAAAACCCACGGAAAUCCCAAAUAUGAUCCCAAAAAACGCCGGACGGAGCCUCCGAGGAGCACCUGGGGCUCUUCCCUACCUGCUGAUCCCGUCUCUCCGCACGUCUCCCAAAUUUAGCCCGGCAAGCCGGGACAGGCCGGGGGAGCCGCUCCCGCCCCCGUCCCGCAGCCGUGACCCCGGGGGGAGCGGGGACGUUCCAGACACCCGGGAGCGCCCGGAGCCGCGCCCGGCGCUGCGGCUGCAGCCCCGUGCCAGCAACGGGCACGGCGAGAGCAGCAGGAGGAGGAGAGAUGCACAGGAGCAACACUGCAUGGGACAGGAGCUCCCAUGGAGAGCUGAACUGAGCACGGAGAUGGGAUCCAGCAGGGAGAGCCAGGAUCUCCUGCUCCAACAUCCUGCUUGUCCCCUCCAGGAUCCUGCAGAUCCCCCCAGUCCUCUCCAGGGAGUGGAAGCAUCCUGCAGGAAUUCUGGAGAUGCCCCCAGUCCCUGCUCCAUCACCAAGGUGGUCUCCCAGUGCCCUCCCCUCUGGCAAAAUCCCAACAAAUCCCAAGUGCCGUUACCAGGAAUGGGGCCCGGCACUAUUUAA
rnacentral:lncRNA from 1 species